UACGAAGGGGGCUAGCGUUGUUCGGAAUUACUGGGCGUAAAGCGCGUGUAGGCGGGUCUUUAAGUCAGGGGGGAAAUGCCAAGGCUCAACCUUGGAACUGCCUUUGAUACUGGAGAUCUUGAGUCCGGGAGAGGUGAGUGGAAUUGCGAGUGUAGAGGUGAAAUUCGUAGAUAUUCGCAAGAACACCAGUGGCGAAGGCGGCUCACUGGCCCGGAACUGACGCUGAGACACGAAAGCGUGGGUAGCAAACAGG
rnacentral:rRNA from 1 species